rnacentral:piRNA from 1 species
UUUUUGCCCGUUGACCAGAUACACUAGA